rnacentral:lncRNA from 10 species
GCGCGAGCGGCCCGGCCGGGAGGUGCGGAAGUUCGCCGCAGCAGCUCAUUGGCGGGCAGCGCCGCUUUCAUCAUUUCUCGGAAAAGUCAAUUUCAUUUUCGCUUCCCCAGGUCGCGGCGGCGGGAGCAACAAGCAGCGGCUCGUGAGUCCGCGGCUCGCACCCAGGGGCGCCCGCACGUGCGGCUAGAACGUCCGAGUCGGGGUCCGGGGCGGGGGGCGCAGGCCCGCGGCGGUAGGGGAGGAGAGCGGGCACCCGAGUCUCCAUCCUCAGGGUGGCCUGAAGGUUCCAGGAGGGCGUCCGGCGAAGGCACGGGGCUGCGACCAUCCAGUUAGCAGGGCUGGUGUGACUGUUGAGAGUAAAUGAAAAUUCGUUUUGUGACACCGACCACCUCCAAGGAAUGAAAGGAGCAGUCAGCCGAAACGACAGCAUUACUUGCGUCCUUACCUAAUUGGAACCUUAUCCGUGGCUGAGGGUGCCACCAUUGGAGGGGCCGCCGCCCCCUCUGACACCACCUGGCGCUCCGCUCCAUUUAGGAGCUAGAACGAAAAGGAGGCCCAUCCCCCAGUAAGUCACAGCCCACGCCAAGAUGAGUUCUGGAGCCUGUGCGACCGAAGUUUCUUCACCGCAGGGCGAGGUGGACAAGGGUGUGAGUUACUUUGACUUCAAGACGUCUCAGUGGCGGCUGGUUCUGGAGAGAGGCUUUAUGCUGGAGCACUUCCAGCAAAGUUCGGCUGGGGCCUCCUUAACUCACUGGCUGGUCACCCUUGGCCUCGGUUUUCAACCAAAGCCUAAGGCCUCAGUUUUCAACGCUGUAAAUGGAAAUAAAUGAGAGAAGAAAGUACAGCCCGUGUGACAAGUGCAGCAAGCAAUGCAACUUCCUUGGGACCUACCCUUUGUGGUCCCUUGCUUUAAAAGUAUAGAUUCACAUUUAGUUAGACCUGUUUCUUCCUCGCAUGCAAUUUCACCAGUCUUUUCCCAGACUUCUGUACUCAACAGAGGAAGUUCCUUCCUGGGAGACCAUAGCUGUUUGUAUGUAAAGAGUUGCGAAAAAACAAAAGCAAAACAAAAAACUCCAACACCUCUCUGUCACAGAAGUAUUGAAUUAUAUAGACUGGAAAAAUGGAAGUAUCCAAGAAAACGCGUGUGAAUUUGGAAGAUGCAAGAAUGGUGAGAGAAGAACAUAAGCCACCUGACAUCUCACUAGUCAGGAAUAGACCUGUGGAUAUUUUUAUGUAUUUCCUUCUAGUGAUCUUUCUAAGGGACCGUUUCCAAUCCGCAUCUCCUCUGUCUGUGUGUAGGAUUUAAGAAUGCUGACUGUGC